GAAGCCUAAGUUCAACAAGUGAACAGCAAUUUCCAAGCUCAGCAGGCAAUGAGCCAUCAAGCUUAUUGGCGAAACAAGGAUUUCCUUCUUGUUGCCUUUUAUUCUCAAACAUGCAGCCUGUGAGGUUGCUUCAUUGUAUUCACGUUUGUGUUCACUGGAAAGAAUCCUAAUUUCUAAGAUGCAGCGACCCGAAGCAAUGUAAGGGUUGCUUUCGCUUCUUUUAUUGAUGCCAUGUUCUUUGAGAUUCUGUUUCUUAUCAUUAAUGGCUGAUGGUUAACUUGCUUGUGCAUUA